rnacentral:siRNA from 1 species
UCAUUGCAAUUGUUGGUCUUCAAC